CCACUCUGCCGUGCUUGUGCUCGCGCUCGCAGUCUCGCCCUCGUGGCCUCCUCACCCCGCUGCCUUCCCGCGUCGGCGUCGCCGCCCUCCCCCGUGUAAGAACCGCCAUCUGAGCACGCACGCCUCCGCGCUCGUCAACCUCUCCGCUUUGCCUCCCCGGCUCGCAUCCGCCACUCCAGAUCUCGAUGCGGCGUGCGCUCCCCUGACAGACACACCCCCGGCUGCGUGGCGCGGCGUCACCAUGUCCGCCUGCGACGACGACCACGCCUCGCUCCUCAGAUCCCAACCGGCCGGCGCGCCGCUGUCGCCAUCCGGCCCCUCGCCGCGCGGCGGGGCGGCGGGGCACCACCAGCAGCAGCAGCACCACGCCGACGUCGAGGCCGACGAGGCCACCGUCACCGCCUCCCCGAGGCGCGCUGGCGGCGUGCGCGGCCUCCUGCGCCACCUCGAGCGCCGCAUGUCCGCGCGCGGAUCCGGGCCCGGCCGCCGCCCGCACCAGCAGCAUUACCAGCAGCUCGACCGCCCCGUGCUAACCGAGGAGCCGUCGCAGCGGCAGCGGGAGAGGCCGGAGGCAGGGGAGGACGACGAGCUCGGGGACGGCGCGCCGCCCGAGUGGGCGCUGCUGCUCAUCGGCUGCCUCCUCGGCCUCGCCACCGGCAUCUGCGUCGCGGCGUUCAACCGCGGGGUUCAUGUCAUCCAUGAAUGGGCAUGGGCUGGUACUCCCAACGAAGGUGCAGCAUGGCUCCGCCUGCAGAGGCUAGCUGAUACUUGGCACAGGAUAUUACUGAUCCCGGUGACUGGAGGUGUGGUUGUAGGAAUGAUGCAUGGGUUGCUCGAGAUAUUUGAGCAGCUAAAACUUGUGAAAUCAGGGCAGAGGCAAGGAAUCAACUUUCUUGGAGCAAUCUUCCCAACCGUAAAGGCUAUCCAGGCUGCUGUUACUCUAGGGACUGGCUGUUCUCUGGGGCCUGAAGGUCCUAGUGUGGAUAUUGGCAAGUCAUGCGCAAAUGCAUGCUCAGAAAUGAUGGAGAAUAACCGGGAAAGACGCAUUGCCCUCGUUGCUGCUGGUGCUGCUGCUGGCAUCGCAUCAGGCUUCAAUGCAGCUGUUGCUGGGUGCUUCUUUGCCAUUGAAACUGUAUUGAGGCCCCUUAAAGCAGAAAAUUCGCCUCCAUUUACAACUGCAAUGAUAAUAUUGGCAUCUGUUAUAUCAUCUACUGUAUCAAAUGUUUUGCUUGGAGCAAGACCAGCUUUUAUAGUGCCAGCAUAUGAGCUAAAAUCUGCUGCAGAGCUACCCCUGUAUCUCAUCUUAGGAAUGCUCUGUGGCGCAGUCAGUGUGGUAUUUGACCGACUGGUAGCGUGGUUUUCAAGGUUAUUUGGGCGCAUAAAGGAAAAGUGUGAUUUUCCUAUUAUAGUGUACCCUGCUUUGGGUGGGCUGGGGGCAGGCCUCAUAGCUCUGAAAUAUCCAGGGAUUUUAUACUGGGGUUUCACAAAUGUUGAAGAAAUAUUGCAUACUGGGAAAAGUGCUUCUGCUCCUGGUAUCUGGUUGUUAACUCAACUCGCAGCUGCAAAGGUAGUUGCAACCGCCCUCUGCAAGGGAUCUGGCCUCGUGGGAGGGCUAUAUGCUCCAAGCCUGAUGAUUGGGGCUGCUGUUGGAGCUGUAUUUGGAGGCUCAGCUGCUUAUUUAAUAAAUUCAGCUAUACCUGGUAAUGCUGCUGUUGCACAGCCACAGGCCUAUGCUCUGGUUGGAAUGGCUGCUACACUAGCUUCAGUCUGUUCAGUCCCAUUGACUUCAGUGUUGCUUCUCUUUGAGCUGACGAAGGAUUACAGGAUUUUGCUUCCUCUCAUGGGAGCAGUUGGGUUGGCAAUAUGGGUUCCUUCUGUAGUAAACCAACCAAAUGACAAUGAGCCUUCUGGUUUUAGAACACCAAGACGAGGGUAUUCUUCAAUUUCAUCAGAAGAUAGAAAUGGCAGCUCGAAGCGAGCUGAUGGUGCGGAUGACCUCGAACUCAGUAUUAUACAAAGUGAUAUUAAUAAUUAUGGAACUUAUAAUGAAGAAAUGCUUCUGGAUGAUUUGAAGGUCUCCCAGGCCAUGUCAAAGAUUUAUGUCAAAGUGUUACCAUCUGCAACAGUAACAGAAGCUUUUAAGCUAUUGCAUGAUAAUCAGCAAAAUUGUGCCCUUGUUGUGGACCCUGAAGAUUACCUUGAAGGAAUUAUUACAUUAGGGGAUAUUCGGCGCAUAGGAUUUGAAUUACAUGAGGAAAGCUUCAUUGAUGGAGACUACCCCAAGACUGAUGUAUGUUUACAUGAACUCAUCCUCCAUUUCGUCAUGUGUUACUCGAGGUUUUCAGUAUCGGGGGAGUGAACGAGGAUUGUUAACAUGCUUUCCAGAUACUGAUUUGACCACUGCGAAAAAUCUUAUGGAGGCCAGAGGGAUAAAGCAGCUGCCUGUAGUUAAGUGUGGUGUUGGCCAUAGACCUACAGGAAGGCGCAAGCCAAUUGCCCUUCUACAUUAUGAUUCUAUUGGUUGCUGCUUGCGGGAGGAGAUCGAGAACUGGAAGACCAUAUACCAAAGAAUGGCUUGUUAAUAAUACAACUAUGAUGAUAUGAUUAUUCAUUCGAUUGUCAAGGGAGGAAACUGUAAACUGAAUAGCAUACAUAAGAGAAAAGAAGACGCCCCCCUCCUCCUAUAGCAAGUGGGCACUGAAAAACGACAGUGCCCAAUGAUACCACAGAAGCAAGUGAUUACUUCAAGACAUCUCUACGAAAUGCAGAUACACUGAUACAGUUACCAUACAGGCAGUUUAACCUGUAUCGUUUAGAUGCCAUUUACUGUAAUCUUAAGGGAAGCUGCACGGGCAAAGCCUGACAAACUUUGCGAAGAUUUCUUCUGCCGGUUUCAUGUGGUACCCUGCCUGACACGGGAGAGGGGUUCAGUAUGGAUGUGUAGAGUAAGAAGGCGGUACUUUUUACCCUCGUACUGCUUGUAAAUUGUAAGCUGUAGUACAGCCUGGUCUCAUUUCUUUUGCUGUGAAGCAGCAUAAAUGUGCUCCAGUGUGGCCACACGAGAAAAACUGCUUGUGCAGUAGAAUCUUCAAGAUGCAAGAUAAAGAAACGCUUCAAGAUGUA